rnacentral:rRNA from 1 species
AAUCAACGCUGGCGGCGUGCCUCAGACAUGCGAGUCGAACGCGAAAGCCCCCUUCGGGGGGCGAAGUAGAGUGGCGCACGGGUGAGUAACACGUAGGUAAUCUACCUUUGGAUGGGGAAUAACAACCGGAAACGGUUGCUAAUACCGCAUAAUGCAGCGGCACCUAAUGGUGACAGUUGUUAAAGCGGGGGAUCGAAAGACCUCGCGUCUGAAGAGGAGCCUGCGGCGGAUUAGCUAGNGGUAAGGUAACGGCUUACCAAGGCGACGAUCCGUAGUCGGCCUGAGAGGGCGGGUCGGCCACACUGACACUGACACACGGGUCAGACUCCUACGGGAGGCAGCAGUCGGGAAUUUUGGGCAAUGGGCGAAAGCCUGACCCAGCAACGCCGCGUGAAGGAUGAAAUCCCUCGGGAU